rnacentral:rRNA from 1 species
CCUACGGGCGGCAGCAGUGGGGAAUAUUGGACAAUGGGCGAAAGCCUGAUCCAGCCAUGCCGCGUGUGUGAAGAAGGCCUUCGGGUUGUAAAGCACUUUCAGUGGGGAAGAAAGCCUUGGGGCUAAUACCCUCGAGGAAGGACAUCACCCACAGAAGAAGCACCGGCUAACUCCGUGCCAGCAGCCGCGGUAAUACGGAGGGUGUGAGCGUUAAUCGGAAUUACUGGGCGUAAAGCGCGCGUAGGCGGUCUGAUAAGCCGGUUGUGAAAGCCCCGGGCUCAACCUGGGAACGGCAUCCGGAACUGUCAGGCUAGAGUGCAGGAGAGGAAGGUAGAAUUCCCGGUGUAGCGGUGAAAUGCGUAGAGAUCGGGAGGAAUACCAGUGGCGAAGGCGGCCUUCUGGACUGACACUGACGCUGAGGUGCGAAAGCGUGGGUAGCAAACAGGAUUAGAUACCCUGGUAGUC